AUUGAACGCUGGCGGCAGGCCUAACACAUGCAAGUCGAGCGGAGCGGCGGACGGGUGAGUAAUGCCUAGGAAUCUGCCUGGUAGUGGGGGCUAACGUCCGGAAACGGGCGCUAAUACCGCAUACUAUCAGAUGAGCCUAGGUCGGAUUAGCUAGUUGGUGGGGAAAAGGCCUACCAAGGCGACGAUCCGUAACUGGUCGGAGAGGAUGAUCAGUCACACUGGAACGGUGACACGGUCCAGAAUCCGCGGGGAGGCAGCAGUAGGGAAUAGUGGAUAAGGGGCGAAAGCCGGAUCCAGCCAGGCCGCGUGUGUGAAGAAGGUCUUCGGAUUGUAAAGCACUGUAAGUUGGGAGGCGUUACCAACAGAAUAAGCACCGGCUAACUUCGUGCCAGCAGCCGCGGUAAUUC
rnacentral:rRNA from 1 species